rnacentral:tmRNA from 1 species
GGGGAUGACAGGUUUCGACGGGGAAGGCUGGCCCUGGACUGCAAGUCGAGCACGCUUUACAUCUCGUAAAACUGGAAGCACAAGAAUACGAGCCAAACAAGAUGCUCCUUCUUACAGCACUCUCCCCAUGGCUGCGUAAGCAGUCGGAGAGUGUGAUGGUUCCUUAAACCGAACCCCGUCUGCCUAGUUCCGUUCGUUGGCCGGGAUUGGCGCAGGCGACAGAAAAGCCGACGUGCUCUGCUUCGACGUCGAUAGAAGCGGUUAAGACGUCCUUUCGGGGAUGAUCGACUAGACAGUGGCUGACCCAGUUGGCCGGGGCGCCCACUGGCGAAAAUCAAAAGGCUAACUAAGCUUGUAGAGGUUCAGAGGACGAAUUUUUCGGACGCGGGUUCGAGUCCCGCCAUCUCCACUG